AUGGCAUCCACCGUCGGCGCCGUGGCGCGGGCGCCUGCCGCCGGCGGGAAGCCAUCGGUCCUCUACCUUCGCCGCGCCAAUGACGGUCUCGCCGCCGCGCUGCGCGCGCGCUACCGCGUCCACAGCCUUUACGACUCGGGCGCUCCGCUCCUGGCGUUCCUCGCCGGGGCCGCGGCCGCCCGGGGGGGCGGUGAGCCCCCGCGGGCCGCCGUCGUCGUCGGCGGAGGCGCCAUCCAAGUCGACGCCGCCUUCCUCGACGCGGCCCCGUGCCUCCGCUGCGUCGUGACCACCGCCGCCGGCCUGGACCACGUCGACCUCGCCGAGUGCGCGCGCCGGGGCGUCGCCGUGGCCGGCGCCGGUGAGACAUUCUCCGCUGACGUGGCGGAUCACGCCGUCGGGCUCCUCCUCGACGUGCUCCGGCGCAUCUCGGCGGCCGACCGGUUCGUCCGGCGCGGGCUGUGGCCGGCGCGCGGGGACUGCUCGCUUGGCUCCAAGCUCAGUGGCAAGCGAGUAGGCAUCAUCGGUUUGGGGAGCAUCGGUACAUUGAUCGCGAGGCGGCUCGAGGCAUUUGGCUGCACCAUCUCCUAUCACUCCAGAAGGGCCAAGGAUUCAGCUACCAUCUCUUACAAAUAUUUCCCCAGUGUCAUCAACUUGGCUCUCGAGUCCGAUGUGCUCAUCGUCGCGUGCUCUCUCAAUAAUCAAACAAAGCACAUUGUCAACAAGGAAGUCCUGGAGGCGCUAGGGAAAGACGGCGUCAUUGUGAACAUUGCCCGCGGAGGGAACGUCGAUGAGGCGGCCCUAAUCUGCGCACUCAAGGGAGGGGGGAUAGCGGGCGCGGGCCUCGAUGUCUUUGAGAAGGAGCCUGAGGUGCCGGCAGAGCUACUCUCCAUGGAAAAUGUGGUGCUCACAGCGCAUGAGGCCGUCUUCACUGUGGAGUCGGCCUCUGAUAUUUCGGACCUCAUGAUCGGGAACCUUGAGGCGUUCUUCCAAGUCUACCAUGCAUGCAAAUCCCAUGUAGCUGAACAUGAAUAUCACGUCUGGUUCGCUCCAGUAGCUGCUGCAUUUCUGAAGAACCAGGUGUGUACAUGA
rnacentral:rRNA from 1 species